rnacentral:rRNA from 1 species
UACGAAGGGGGCUAGCGUUGUUCGGAAUUACUGGGCGUAAAGGGCGCGUAGGCGGCCUGAUAAGUAGGGGGUGAAAUCUUGCGGCUUAACCGCAAGGCUGCCUUCUAAACUGUCAGGCUAGAGCACAGUAGAGGCAGGUGGAAUUCCCGGUGUAGCGGUGGAAUGCGUAGAGAUCGGGAAGAACAUCAGUGGCGAAGGCGGCCUGCUGGGCUGUUGCUGACGCUGAGGCGCGACAGCAUGGGGGAGCAAACAGG